GUCUACGGCCAUACCACCCUGAACGCGCCCGAUCUCGUCUGAUCUCGGAAGCUAAGCAGGGUCGGGCCUGGUUAGUACUUGGAUGGGAGGAGUAUGAACCCUCACACCAUAGCAGGGGAUUAUGGCCC
rnacentral:rRNA from 1 species